AUUGAACGCUGGCGGCAGGCUUAACACAUGCAAGUCGAGCGAGCGGCGGACGGGUGAGUAAUGUCUGGGGAACUGCCCGAUGGAGGGGGAUAACUACUGGAAACGGUAGCUAAUACCGCAUACUAUCUGAUGUACCCAGAUGGGAUUAGCUAGUAGGUGGGGUAAAGGCUCACCUAGGCGACGAUCUCUAGCUGGUCUGAGAGGAUGACCAGCCACACUGGAACUGAGACACGGCCCAGACUCCUACGGGAGGCAUCAGUGGGGAAUAUUGCACAAUGGGCGCAAGCCUGAUGCAGCCAUGCCGCGGGUGUGAAGAAGGCCUUCGGGUUGUAAAGUACUUUCAGCGAGGAGGCGUUACUCGCAGAAGAAGCACCGGCUAACUCCGUGCCAGCAGCCGCGGUAAUUC
rnacentral:rRNA from 1 species